CUGUAAAAUGAGACUAAUAAUAGCACCUCCCCAGCAGACCUUUUGUGAGCCCCAAAUGAGAUAAUGCAUGUAAACCACCGACCACAGCACUGCAUGGGUAGGAAGUGCUCCCUGCUACCCAUUGUUUGUGUUACUCACCCUCAAGGCUUAGCUCCAAAGCUACAUCCUCUGAAUUUUCACCAGUUGGCAUUAAUCUCUCCCCCAUCUGUUGCACCGUGAUUUCUCCGUUUGCCAACAUUGUAACAGUUGGCCCAUUCAACUCUGUGUUGUAGAUGAGAAUCGGUCUGAUUUGCCCAUUGUAAAUUCUUGAGGACAAGGAACCUGUUUGGUUCACCUUUGUC
rnacentral:lncRNA from 1 species